rnacentral:rRNA from 1 species
GGGNNUUCNGAGUUUUACAACUCAUCAACCCUGUGAACAUACCUAAAACGUUGCCUCGGCGGGAACAGACGGCCCCGUAACACGGGCCGCCCCCGCCAGAGGACCCCCUAACUCUGUUUCUAUAAUGUUUCUUCUGAGUAAACAAGCAAAUAAAUUAAAACUUUCAACAACGGAUCUCUUGGCUCUGGCAUCGAUGAAGAACGCAGCGAAAUGCGAUAAGUAAUGUGAAUUGCAGAAUUCAGUGAAUCAUCGAAUCUUUGAACGCACAUUGCGCCCGCCAGUAUUCUGGCGGGCAUGCCUGUUCGAGCGUCAUUACAACCCUCAGGCCCCCGGGCCUGGCGUUGGGGAUCGGCGGAAGCCCCCUGCGGGCACAACGCCGUCCCCCAAAUACAGUGGCGGUCCCGCCGCAGCUUCCAUUGCGUAGUAGCUAACACCUCGCAACUGGAGAGCGGCGCGGCCACGCCGUAAAACACCCAACUUCUGAAUGUUGACCUCGAAUCAGGUAGGAAUACCCGCUGAACUUAAGCAUAUCAAUAAGCGGAGAAA